AUAUGUCUACUUGGAGGGGGGCUCUCCAAAAUUUCCGACAUAUUUAAUCCCCGCAAGGGAUAGUGUGAUCCACGCCCAGAGUCGGACACCGCUCUCUCAGACGGGUUACAGAGGCCGGCCAUAACAUUACGGAGCUGAAAAGAGAAAAAAGAGAAGAGCAGAGGAAGAAAAGCAAGCUCAAAGUAAAGGGGCAAUGCUGAAAUUUCUUAGUCCACCCACAGUUACAGAGACAGAUCCAUCUCUAUCUGAAGUUGGAUCUGCUGGCAAUUUACUGAAUCAGAGGCAGAACCUCAGUCUUCAGAACCCCAUACAUCAGAUCAGACUGCUUUACCUGCUGUAGAUGUAUCUGCUGAUGUCAUGCAAGCACCACCACUUGAUCCAGCUGACUGGCCAUCUGUCUUAUCAGAUGCAGUUAAAAUGCAUUUUGUAAACAGAUGUCCAUUGCAACCCAAUUCUGACUUCACCUUUCCUAAGACGGAAGAUGGUACAGUAGAUUAUGCCACCGCAAUUAUUAUUACAGAACCUUAGUUAAUGGUGAGGAAAUGAGGAGAAGCUGGCUAAGCUAUUCACCUAAAACCAAUGCACUCUUUUGCUAUUGCUGUAAACUGUUUUCUGAGCACAACAUAGUCAGAAAAGGAAUAAAUGACUGGGAAAAUGCACCAUCUUAUUUAAACAUCCAUGAGAUCUCUCCUGAACACAUCAAACAUUUGGCAGCAUGGAAGGAGUUAGAGAUGCGUCUCAAAAAAGGAAAACUAUAGACAUGCAAGAAAUGUCACUACUAGAGUCUGAAAAGAUGCUAGAGAGAUGUUCUUACCCAUUUAGUAGCUAUAUCAUCCAGUCCCUUGCAUGCAGAAGCCUAGCAUUAAGAGGAUCAAGUGACACACUGUAUCAACUAACAAUGGCAACUUUUUAAAAGAGGUGGAACUUCUUGCUAAGUUUGAUCCUGUAAUGCAAAAACAUAUUGCAAGAGUACAAUGUGCUACUGGCCACCAGCCACAUUACCUGGGGAAGACAAUUCAGAAUGAGCUUAUUGCAGCAAUGAGUGGCAAAGUAACAGAAAAAACUGUGACAGAAAUUAAAGCUGCCAAAUACUACUUAGUCGUUCUAGAUUGCACCCCCAAUGAAAGCCACCAAGUGUGAGUUGUCAUAAGAACAGUCACUUUCAAUGACAUGCCUGAAUUCAAGGAGCAUUUACUCGGAUUCCUUGCAGCUGAAGCAACCACUGGUGAGACAAUUGGGCAAGCACAAGGGUGUCCAGGAAAGGCUGCUGGAUAAGAAUCCACGUGCAUUUUUGUACCAUGUGGUACACAUACACUAAAUUUAGUUGUAGCUAAUGCAGCCAAAGCCUCUUUGGAUGCAAGUAGUUAUUUUGGAUACCUCCAAAAAAUCUACUGCCUUUUUUCAGCAGUUCCUCAAAGGUGGGCAAUACUUCUUGCAAAAAACAUGUGGAAAUCAAUGUAAAGGGCUGGACAGAAACAAGGUGGGAGAGCAGAAUUAAAAGUGGAGAAGCUCUACGUUAUCAGGCUGCAGAAGAGAAGCUCUCUUGGAGGUGAGGGAAAAGACCACUGAUGGAAACCUCAGAAUUGAUGUUCAGUCUUUGGCAGAGGAAGUGGGCUCAUUCCGUUUCUCCAUUUGCUCUUCUCCACUUUCUUUCCUUUGUCCAGCAUAUACAGUAAGCAAGCUUAUGCAGUCCUCUGAUAUGCAGUUAGAUGUACAGUAGCUGUUGAUCUGCUCAAUAAGACACACAGGUCCCUCACUGACUAGAGAGUCUCUGGUUUUGCAGCAGCUCUGGAGGCAACAGCCAAGGAUAUCUGUGAUGCCAUGAAUGUAGAAGCCACACUAAAGCAAAAAAGGUUGAGGUGCACGAAACGUUGCUUUGUCUAUGAAGCUCAUGAUGAAGCUUUUAUUGAUGCAUUAAAGAAGUUAGAAGUGACAUUCUUUAAUGCUGUUGUAGAUGCUGCCAAAUCAUCUAUUGAAGAAAGAUAGAGUCUCAGUGAAAUGAGAGACAAGUUCAGUGUGCUUCUCAAUUUAAAGAGUCUCACACUCUGUGAAUUGGGAGCUCAGUGUGAGACACUUAGUCUCUAUCAAUAACAAAUGACUGACAUCAGUGGCAGGGAACUUGCUCUUGAGUUGACAAACUUGUGAAGGGUGUCAAUGAUUGUUGUCUGGACAACUGUCAGUUCAGCAGUCUUCCCCAUGAUUGUGUAGCCUAGUAAACCAAAUUGAGAGACCAUUUUGAUGGCUCAGGAAACUUUUGCAGAUGUUGUGUUGUGUUUUUAUUUGGGAAGAUGAAAGGGCUGUGGGAUUUCUCCCAUGUCUUUGGUUUGUCAGAGCUAAUAGAAAAGAUUGGUGAAUUGGUCAGAUUCAGGUAGUAGACUCGUUUUGUUAAACCUGUUUCUCAGUGCUGAGUGGAGACAACUUGUAUUUACAUAUGCAGAGAAUCCCGCUGUUUCGAGACCUCUAUUCAGCAGACAGUGCAAUUAAUCAUUCCGAUAUCCUCCUGCCGUGCAACAGACGACCCUGGCCUGACAGAGAGCAUGCAGGUGUGGAUCAAGCUGCUGUAAAAAAAAAUAAACAAAACAACAUCUGAAACUAAAGCUUUUUAUGUUUUUCAUUAAUGAUGCAUAAUUCCACUUUGAAUUUUAGACAUCUUCUCCCAAAUGUCUUUUUAUAAUACAGUUAAGUAUGGGCUUGCCUUUAAAAAUGUAAUACAACACACAUACAUAUUAUAUAAUAGACAUAUUGCAAUCAUGAAGCCAUUUUUAUCAUGUUCAUUAGCAGCUCCAUGGAUUCAAAAUGGUGAGAAGAUUAUAAAUUACAUAUAAGGAAAAAAAUAACCAAGGUUAAAAGGUAUUCUGGCUUACUAAUCUUAACAUUUUAAUCUUUCAUAUCAAAGGAAGGAAAUGGAGACCAGGUAUUGAUUUCUUGUCUCUUAUUCAAUCAAGAAUUUUUUGCUGAUUGUCAUUAGAUUCUUAAUCUAGGAAUUAUUUUCAAGAUCUCUGAUACUAUUCUGUGAUAGUCAUUGACAAAUGAGACAAAUGCAUAUUUAAAACAUGUAUUUGAUAAAUAAAUUUAAAGAAUUUCAGUGUUUUCAUUUUUAAUUGAGUUAAAUUAUCACAUACAAAGAUUAAUCAUGAUUUAAAAUGAUUACAUUUAUCUAUGCAACCCGUAACAGAAAAUUUGAAAAUAUUAUUUAACAACCAUGUGUCAUAAACUUAAAUUUGUGGUUGAACCAUAUGGCAGACUCGCUUAUCCAGAGUAACUUACAUUUAUAUUUAAUUUCAUUUAAUCAUAAAUUAUUUUACUGUGCAAUUUAGGGCUAAUGACAUUGCUCUGGAACUCAGCAGUGGACACUUGGUGGACCUGAGAUUCACACUCACAACCUUCCUAUCAGUACUUUAACAACUUAAACACUAAGCUACCACAGUCUUUAUAUCAAAGUCUGUUGAAUAGCAGCUGCUAAUGAUAUAAGAACAUAUAAAUACUCCUUAUGAGGUAAAAACUCGGAACACAUUAAUUUAAACCUUGCACUUGAAACAAUGUACUGUAUAUUCCUGAUUCAACAACAGUUAAAGAAAUCUGAGAUCCAAUUUUAUCUCCCAUAUCAGAAAGACACAGAAAGCCUCAGGACUGGGCAGCUGGUGAAGAGUAUAAAGGAAAAAACAACUGAACGAAUGAGAAGACACACAGACUCGUGUAUCUGGUGUUUUUACUGCUAACCCACCUUUUGGCCAACCCCAGCUGUGCUUCCAUGUUCACUCAAAACAUACUUCUUGGCCAUUACUGGUAAUAAAUUUAUCUAAUCUAAUCCCAGUGCUCCCUUUGUUGUGAUGGCUUGACCACAGCGCAUCAUACUUCAUCACUCUCUCCUUAUAUCAACGCUUUACUUCUCUCUGUACUGCAUUCAGCAGUUAUAAAUCUAACUGCGUCCCCCUUUGCACCAAUCAAUAUUUAGUUUGAUAUUUGUGUAGCAGCCAUUGUGUAAUCAAUAAAAGGUCAGGGAAAGUAAAUUGCAGUACCCGGCUUAAUGAUUGUGUCUUUUCUUAGAUUGAUGAAAAAAAUGUUUUAUUAUCUGAUUAUUAAGGAAGAAUUAUGUGAGUCAACAUUUAAACUCACAAUCUACUGUAGUAGACUUUUAUGGUCUAUAUUGCAUCAGUAUGUCACGCCAAGGUGCAUGUUGUCCAGUUUUUCUACCCAGCACGUUUUGAUGUCCUAUGCCUAUUGUUCUGAACGCGAGACAAACCAGACCCAAAUGCAGGAUGGAGAAAAACAGAACACUAAACAUGACACGGACUAAAGACAGGACAAGACAACAGUAGAUUCCGCACUGCACAAGGCAACGUGGCACAGUUAAAUAA